UGGUGCCCAAUCCACUGAGCCACACCAGCAAGGGCUGAACUGUAUGCUUUUUAAAGGGAUAAUUGUAUGGUAUGUGACUUACAUCUCAAUUUUAAAAAAGGAAAAAUAGUUUUUCAUUUGACUAAGUUGUAUUUACUGGAAAUAUGUUUUCAAAGGAGACCAAAUGAUAUUUUUACUUUCUCCUUUCUAAUUUUUAUGUCUCCUGUUCUUACUCUUGUAAUAGUAUCAGCUAGUAUAUCUGAAAAAUGUUAAGUAAGUUUUCAUGGAAAUGGUGAUAGUGGGCUGACUUUUCCUGUUCCUGACCGUUCUGGGAAUGCUUCUCCACUAAGCUUUUGGGUGCACACAUGCACAUAUUUUUAUCCCCUUAGGAGAAUACCUAUCCCUAUUUGUCAGUAAUCUAUGGAGAUUUUUCUCCUUUGAUCUAUUACUAUUGUACAAUAUACAGAUUUGUAUUUUUUACAUUCCUGAAACAAAUCCCACUUGGUUGUGGUAUAUAUCUAUUUUAAUCCUAAUAUUUUGCAAUUUUGCAUAUGUAGAAAGAUUGACAUUUAGUUAUCUACCAUAAUGUAGCAUUGUUUAGAAUGGUCCCAAACUGGAAAUAACCUAGAUGUCUGUUAAUAAUGAUCUGUUCAAAGAAGGUGUGGUAGAGUCAUAUAAUUGAAUACAAUGCAGACCUUUGAAAAAUGAGGAAGACUGAUGCCCUGGCUGGUGUGGGUUGGUGGGUUGAGCACCGGCCUGUGAACCGAAAGGUUGUUGGUUCUAUUCUGGGUCGGGACACAUGCUGGGGUGCGGGCCAAGUCCCCACAUGGCCCCAGUGUGAGAGGCAACUGAUCAAUGUAUUUCUUCCUCUCUUUUUCUCUCUCUUCCCCUCUCUAAAAAUAAAUAAAUAAAAUCUUUAAAAAAUAAAAAGUGAAGACGGUCUAUAUAUCCUGCUAUGGAAAGUGUCCAAGGUUAAUGAAAAACCUGAUAUUAAAUGAGUAUAUUCAAUAUGAUUCCACUUGUGUUAAAUAAUACAAAUAAUAAUAGUGAUAGCAUGUAUUAGUAUGAGUGUGCACAGAAAUGUCUGGAAGCAUAUACAGAUAACAGUGCUGGGGCAAGAGGGGCAGUAGUAAUAUUUGAGUCUUUUUCAUAAUAGGCCUACCUUUUUCAUAAUAAGCCUACCUUAUCCUUGUAAUAAAAAGUUAAUUUUAAAAAGGUAAAGGUAAAUACCUGGAGGAAAAAAGGUACAGGUUAAACAUCCUAAUGCUAGUGAGGAAGGGGAAAAAAGCAUUUUGUGCCUAUUCUUAGAUCACUUGCACAUGGCAGCCCUGAUAGUGCUUAUCCAUUAAAUAUUUUCUAACUUAACAUUUAUUGACCCCUUACACUCUGUAUGCUGGAUCUCAGCCAUAAGUACACUUUUUAGUAGCUCUUUGUGCUAAGAGUGGAGAAGCAUGUGAACAAGAUUUACAGAAUGAUCCCAGCAGGUAUUGUGUCCUGAAGGUCAUAUACACCAUGUUAAGGAAUGUGGACUUCACCCUAAAGGCAAUGGAAAACCACUUUGUAGCUUUUAGGUGGGAAGCAGAGUGUGUAUGUGUAUCUUGUAUCAUUCCUCUGGCUGCUGUGUGGAUCCCUGCCAUGUGGAAUAGGAAGACCAGAGGCUGGAAUACCAGCUCAGGGCACUGGAGUCACCUAGCUCUGCUGCACACCCAGGAUUCCAGGAAGGUAUUGACAAAGUGGGAGCUGCUACGAAGGGUGGAGAUGUUCCAUCUUAUUGCCAUGUGUGGCCAGUACAGACUCAAGACCAGGGGCCAGGAGUGGUUUCAUUUCCACUUCUUGCUGAUCUGGGGCUUUCUAGAUCCCAUUAGGUGGUACUGAGUGGCACCUCAGAGAUGCUGGCCUUGAUUACUGGCCACUUCACCUGUAGUAGCCCAUGCCCAGUUCCCUGAGGUUCCUGGGUCAAGCUUUUGCCACCCCCAGCCCCCAUCCUACACCCAAUGUCCCCAUAGUUCUUGUGUACCAAAUGCCUUUGGUUCAUGUACUGUGCAGUCAGAAAUAUCCAGGCUUAUUUUUGUUUGUGGUUUAUUUUCCAGCUUUUAGUACCAAAGAGGCUAUGCUGAGUUAGGUAGUGGGCACUGCCCAGAAAAUGUAUUUCAAUAAAAGCA